rnacentral:rRNA from 1 species
UCAAGUGACUAAGUGCAUGCGGCGGAUGCCUUGGCGAUCACAGGCGAAGAAAGACGCGGCAGCCUGCGAAAAGCUGCGGGGAGCUGGCAAACGAGCUUUGAUCCGCAGAUAUCUGAAUGGGGGAACCCACACCGCAAGGUGUAUCCGUAACUGAAUACAUAGGUUACGGAGGCGAACGAGGAGAACUGAAACAUCUAAGUAUCCUCAGGAAAAGAAAUCAACCGAGAUUCCGGCAGUAGCGGCGAGCGAACCCGGAGGAGCCUAGCUUUUGAUAGUACGAACUUUAGCCGAAAGGUCCUGGAAAGGCCUGCUAUAGUGGGUGAUAGCCCCGUAGGCGAAAGAGUUGGUACGGUACUAAGGAAGCGGGAAGUAGAGCGGGACACGUGGAAUCCUGUUCGAAGACGGGGGGACCAUCCUCCAAGGCUAAAUACUCGUGAUCGACCGAUAGUGAACCAGUACCGUGAGGGAAAGGCGAAAAGAACCCCGGGAGGGGAGUGAAAUAGAACCUGAAACCGCAUGCAUACAAACAGUAGGAGCCUCAUCAGAGGUGACUGCGUACCUUUUGCAUAAUGGGUCAGCGACUUACAUUCUGUGGCGAGCUUAACCGAAUAGGGGAGGCGCAGCGAAAGCGAGUUCGAAAUGAGCGUCCAGUCGCAGGGUGUAGACCCGAAACCAGAUGAGCUAUCCAUGGCCAGGUUGAAGGUGUGGUAACACACACUGGAGGACCGAACCGACUAGUGUUGCAAAAUUAGCGGAUGAGCUGUGGAUAGGGGUGAAAGGCCAAACAAAUCUGGAGAUAGCUGGUUCUCCCCGAAAACUAUUGAGGUAGUGCCUCGUGUGUCGCUCCAGGGGGUAGAGCACUGUUUUGGCUAGGGGGACAUGGAGUCUUACCAAACCAAGGCAAACUCCGAAUACCUGGAAGCGUGAGCACGGGAGACAGAGCACCGGGUGCUAACGUCCGGACUCAAAAGGGAAACAACCCAGACCGCCGGCUAAGGUCCCAAAUAACAGCUAAGUGGAAAACGAAGUGGAAAGGCCGUGACAACCAGGAAGUUGGCUUAGAAGCAGCCAUCCUUCAAAGAAAGCGUAAUAGCUCACUGGUCGAGUCCUUCUGCGCGGAAGAUGUAACGGGGCUAAGCUGUUAACCGAAGCCGCGGAUGCGCUGGUUAUCCAGUGCGUGGUAGGGGAGCGUUCUGUAAGUCUGCGAAGGCGGUUCGAGAGGACUGCUGGAGAUAUCAGAAGUGCGAAUGCUGACAUGAGUAACGUUAAAGCAGGUGAAAAGCCUGCUCGCCGUAAGCCCAAGGAUUCCUGCUCUACGUUCAUCGGAGCAGGGUGAGUCGGCUCCUAAGGUCAGGCCGAAAGGCGUAGCCGAUGGGAAUCAGGUUAAUAUUCCUGAACCUGCGUCAGAUGCGAUGGGGGGACGGAGCAUGGAAGAUCAUCCGGGUGUUGGAAGUCCCGGUUGUUGAGCGUAGGAGGUCUGCAGGCAAAUCCGCAGACGCAUCUCCAAGGCAAAGACACGUGCCGCCACGGCGGCGAAGUGAUCGGAAGUGCUUCCAAGAAAAGCCUCUAAGCCCCAGUCUGACGCGGACCGUACCGCAAACCGACACUGGUGGGCGAGCUGAAUAUGCUCAGGCGCUUGAGAGAACUCGGGAGAAGGAACUCGGCAAAUUGACACCGUAACUUCGGAAGAAGGUGUGCCGUAGUACCGUGAGAGGAGAGACACCUUGAGCGGGAAACGGUCUCAGAGAAUAGGUGGCUGCGACUGUUUAUUAAAAACACAGCACUCUGCAAAGUCGAAAGACGACGUAUAGGGUGUGAUGCCUGCCCGGUGCUGGAAGAUUAAUUGAUGGGGUGAGAGCCCUUGAUCGAAGUCCCAGUAAACGGCGGCCGUAACUAUAACGGUCCUAAGGUAGCGAAAUUCCUUGUC